CCAAGGAGUCUAACAUGUGCGCGAGUCGUCGGGUCUUGAAUAGGCCCGCAGGCGAAAUGAAAGUGAAGGGCGACCCAGUCGUCGCCUGCGUUGGGAUCCCCGGGCCGCCGCGUCCGGGGCGCACCAACGGCCCGUCCCGUCCGCGACGUCGGUGGGACGGAGCGAGAGCGUACACGUUGGGACCCGAAAGAUGGUGAACUAUGCCUGGGCAGGACGAGGCCAGAGGAAACUCUGGUGGAGGUCCGCAGCGAUUCUGACGUGCAAAUCGAUCGUCAGACCUGGGUAUAGGGGCGAAAGACUAAUCGAACCGUCUAGUAGCUGGUUCCCUCCGAAGUUUCCCUCAGGAUAGCUGGCGCUCGAGGGAGUCAGUCUCAUCCGGUAAAGCGAAUGAUUAGAGGCCUUGGGGCCGAAACGACCUCAACCUAUUCUCAAACUUUCAAUGGGUGAGAAGUCCGGUUUACAUGACUGAAGCCCGGACAAUUCUCAGGAUGCGAGUGCCCAGUGGGCCACUUUU
rnacentral:rRNA from 1 species